UCAGGAAAGUNUGGAGUAAAAGGCUAUGGCUCAACCAUAGUGUGCUCUGGAAACUNUCUGACUUGAGUGCAGAAGGGGAGAGUGGAAUUCCAUGUGUAGCGGUGAAAUGCGUAGAUAUAUGGAGGAACACCAGUGGCGAAAGCGGCUCUCUGGUCUGUCACUGACGCUGAGGCUCGAAAGCGUGGGUAGCGAACAGGAUUAGAUACCCUGGUAGUCCACGCCGUAAACGAUGAGUGCUAGGUGUUAGGCCCUUUCCGGGGCUUAGUGCCGGAGCUAACGCAAUAAGCACUCCGCCUGGGGAGUACGACCGCAAGGUUGAAACUCAAAGGAAUUGACGGGGGCCCGCACAAGCGGUGGAGCAUGUGGUUUAAUUCGAAGCAACGCGAAGAACCUUACCAGGUCUUGACAUCCCGAUGCUAUUCUUAGAGAUAGGAAGUUACUUCGGUACAUCGGAGACAGGUGGUGCGUGGUUGUCGUCAGCUCGUGUCGUGAGAUGUUGGGUUAAGUCCCGCAACGAGCGCAACCCUUAUUGUUAGUUGCCAUCAUUAAGUUGGGCACUCUAGCGAGACUGCCGGUAAUAAACCGGAGGAAGGUGGGGAUGACGUCAAAUCAUCAUGCCCCUUAUGACCUGGGCUACACACGUGCUACAAUGGUCGGUACAACGAGUUGCGAGCCGGUGACGGCAAGCUAAUCUCUGAAAGCCGAUCUCAGUUCGGAUUGGAGGCUGCAACUCGCCUCCAUGAAGUCGGAAUCGCUAGUAAUCGCGGAUCAGCACGCCGCGGUGAAUACGUUCCCGGGCCUUGUACACACCGCCCGUCACACCACGAGAGUUUGUAACACCCGAAGUCGNUGAGGUA
rnacentral:rRNA from 1 species